rnacentral:lncRNA from 1 species
GUGGAGUUAAAUUGAUAUUGGGCAUGUUGCGCCUGUUUAAGAAUUAUCUUCAUUUUUUAUUUUAUUUUUUAUGUUUUUAAAACAUUUCCACUUGUUCCUCAUCAAAUUUAGAGGAGGAAAUAUUUCUUCAUGAGUUCCCAAAUAUAUGAGGAAAAUAAAGAAAAAUAGUGGGACCCAUGUAUUAACAGUUUGACAAAAAUUUCAACUGAAUUGGUAACAUUUUUAAGGAACAACCAAUUCAUCAUAUAUUUUUCCUAAAG